CCUACGUGGGGCAGCAGUGAGGAAUAUUGGUCAAUGGGCGCGAGCCUGAACCAGCCAAGUCGCGUGAAGGAUGACUGCCCUACGGGUUGUAAACUUCUUUUAUAAAGGAAUAAAGUGAGGCACGUGUGCCUUUUUGUAUGUACUUUAUGAAUAAGGAUCGGCUAACUCCGUGCCAGCAGCCGCGGGAAUACGGAGGAGCCGAGCGUUAUCCGGAUUUAUUGGGUUUAAAGGGAGCGUAGAUGGGUUGUUAAGUCAGUUGUGAAAGUUUGCGGCUCAACCGUAAAAUUGCAAUUGAUACUGGCAGUCUUGAGUGCAGGUGAGGUAGGCGGAAUUCGUGGUGUAGCGGUGAAAUGCUUAGAUAUCACGAAGAACUCCGAUUGCGAAGGCAGCUUACUAAACUGCCACUGACAUUGAUGCUCGAAAGUGUGGGUAUCAAACAGGAUUAGAUACCCCAGUAGUC
rnacentral:rRNA from 1 species